GAGUUUGAUCCUGGCUCAGAUUGAACGCUGGCGGCAUGCCUUACACAUGCAAGUCGAACGGCAGCACGGGAGCUUGCUCCUGGUGGCGAGUGGCGAACGGGUGAGUAAUGCAUCGGAACGUAUCCUGGAGUGGGGGAUAACGUAGCGAAAGUUACGCUAAUACCGCAUAUUCUGUGAGCAGGAAAGCGGGGGACCUUCGGGCCUCGCGCUCUUGGAGCGGCCGAUGUCGGAUUAGCUAGUUGGUGAGGUAAAGGCUCACCAAGGCGACGAUCCGUAGCAGGUCUGAGAGGAUGAUCUGCCACACUGGAACUGAGACACGGUCCAGACUCCUACGGGAGGCAGCAGUGGGAAUUUUGGACAAUGGGGGCAACCCUGAUCCAGCCAUGCCGCGUGAGUGAAGAAGGCCUCGGUU
rnacentral:rRNA from 3 species